GGGGUCGUGGCUCAGUGGCAGAGCACUCGCCUGACGUGUGAGGCACAGGGUUCUAUUCUCAGCACUGCA
rnacentral:tRNA from 1 species